GAUAAACGCCGGCGGUGUGCCUUAUGCAUGCAAGUCGAACGGGCUACCUUCGGGUAGCUAGUGGCGAACGGGUGAGUAACGCGUAAGUAACCUGCCCCUAAGUAGGGAAUAACUCCGAGAAAUUGGAGCUAAUACCGUAUGUGAUGGUGGAGGUAAUGCUCCAUCAUUAAAGCCUUCGGGUGCUUGGGGAGGGGCUUGCGUCCGAUUAGCUAGUUGGUAGAGUAAGAGUCUACCAAGGCGACGAUCGGUAGCUGGUUUGAGAGGACAGUCAGCCACACUGGGACUGAGACACGGCCCAGACUCCUACGGGAGGCAGCAGCAAGGAAUUUUGGGCAAUGGGCGAAAGCCUGACCCAGCGACACCGCGUGGGGGAUGAAGGUCUUCGGGUUGUAAACCCCUUUUCUCAGGGAAGAAUAAUGACGGUACCUGAGGAAUAAGCCUCGGCUAACUACGUGCCAGCAGCCGCGGUAAUACGUAGGAGGCGAGCGUUAUCCGGAUUUACUGGGCGUAAGGAGGGCGUAGGUGGCUCUUCAAGUCGGAUGUAAAAUUUCCCGGCUCAACUGGGAGGGAUCAUUCGAUACUGUUAGGCUAGAGGACAGCAGAGGGAGGUGGAAUUCCCGGUGUAGUGGUGAAAUGCGUAGAUAUCGGGAGGAACACCAGUGGCGAAGGCGGCCUCCUGGGCUGUUUCUGACACUGAGGCCCAAAAGCGUGGGGAGCGAACAGGGUUAGAUACCCUGGUAGUCCACGCUGUAAACGAUGGACACUAGGUAUGGGGAGUAUCGACCCUCUCCGUGCCGAAGCUAACGCCUUAAGUGUCCCGCCUGGGGACUACGGCCGCAAGGCUAAAACUCAAAGGAAUUGACGGGGGCCC
rnacentral:rRNA from 1 species